ACGCAAGGAAAACUAGUUCCACGAUAUUGUUGCGCCCGAAACUUAGAGACGGGACCAAGCUUUCGUCCGUGUCCAGCGGCCAGCGCAGUAGUGCCAUCCAACACGACCUUGAACUUUCUUGAACCAGAAAAUGGCGACCAGGAAGUGAGUUUUGGAAGUGAUCGUGAUAGUGUUUGCUGUUUUAUAAGCAAAAUAUGAAAUGUCAUGGGAUACCUUAUCAGCCCGUGGAUACAUAAGAUCUUCCAAGAAGUUAUAGGGAUGCAGUGUGAUUGCAGUGUCUUGCUUGCUGGCCGCAGUUUGACCCAACAGCCACACAGAAGUAGAGAUGCAGUCACAGAGACAGCCAUCCAACCUGGACUUGGUGACCAGUGAGAAGUCUUCAGCACUCAUCCUGGUGACAGUCCUGGAUAUCUGGGGCGGAGAGGCACUUUCUGACUCUUCAGAUCGAAAGGUGAAGAAUACAGCCACAUCCAAGGGAGAUAAUCCACUUUCAUUGCACCUGCCAAUCAAGCUUCUUCAGUAACCUAUGCUGUCUAGUGAUCAUUUCCACACCACCAGUUCUCACCUGUGCAACGCCUGGGUCACCUACUUUCCUCCAUCUUCCCAAGGCAAGGGAAUUAGGCAAGGCAAGGGACUAUAAAAGUCCUGUUUCCACCCUUACCGAAUUACGUUGGAAUUUCAUGGCUCGAUCCUAGCACCACCAGUGGCAAUCACGUGUUAUGGCCCUUCGAUGUCCAUCCAACUGACCAGUCAGUUUCCACCUCCCUCUCAUAUCACUUCCAUUUGCUCCAAACAAUAUGGUGGCGCAUAGUCAAGAUGAUCUGACUUCCUAUUUUGUUACAUUGUCUGUUUUUCACUGAUUGUUCACCUGUGAAUACCUUUAAUUAAAGAAUGGUAGAAAUUAAAACAUUUUUUCAUGAAUUUUCAAGUGCUACACAAUCUGGGCAUUGCAGUGAUAGGUAGCUUGUUGGUAUUGCCACAAACAUGAAUGUACCAGAACAGUUUAAAGAAACAGGAAUACUUUUCUUCACCAAGUCUCUGGGAACUUGGUGUGCAGGCGUUCAAUGGCUGUAGGAACUUGAUGUACCAAGGGAAAUAACUCUGGUUGGCUUGUGUUGAAAGAGUUCAGGGUGUUUGUGCUGUGUCUGGUUCUACUACACUUAAUCAGAAUCAGUUGUGCCUGAGGCUACCUACCUACCUACCUACCUACCUACCUACCUACGUAAGAAUAGCACUUUGAGCAUGCCCCUGAGUGGUGUGGAAAUAUGUGCAAUAUAAAUGGUCAUUAUUAUUAUUAUUAUUGUACAUUAGAGUGUAAUGGUAUGGACUUUUAUUAGAUCGAACACUUGAGUCUUGUCAUACUAUCUCUUGGCUCAAGUAUCAUGUGUUGUACAUUUUAGUGUUAUCAUGUGGACUUUUAUAAGCUGAGCCUACUAGACUGAACAGCACAUCACUUGAUGCGGGCUUGGGGCCAGUGGCUAAAGUUGCAGACUGUGCAUUUAGCUUCAAUCUUGCUCUUAAUCUACCUGCAGGGAACUCUCUUUGUUACAAAGUUUGAGAUUUAAAACUUUGUACAUGUGUCAACUGUUUGUGUAAUUCUGUUGGAACCAAACGUCUGAAGACGUGACAAAAACCUGUAAGUCAGCGGGGAAGGUGGCAUUCUGUGGUCACAAUAAAGUCCUUUGAUUGAUUCCUCACGUAUUAGGUCGCCUUGUUAUUCCCCCCGGCAUGUAAUGGGGGGUUAAUAUAGUCGAUGUCUUGUCUGUCUGUCCAUCUGUCAGCCCUUCUGUCUGUCCGUCCAUCUGUAAUUAUUUCAUUUCUGGAGCACAACUCAAAAACCAUUCAAUAUUUUACAACAAAACUUGGCAGAUAUAUCAAACAGAUCCUGAAAUGGUGCCUUUUAAUGUUUAUGGAUUUUGGGCAGUUUUUUAGUUUUUCUCGAUUUCCAUGGAAACAGUUUGGACUUUGUCUCUAAAGGUGGGAUGAAUUUUGUUUCUGAAAGCUGUCCAAUAUUUUUCAACAAAACUUGCCGGAUGUAUCAAACAGAUCCUGAAGUGAUGCCUUUUCCUGUUUGUGGAUAUUUGGUGUUUUUAAUUUUCUCGAUUUCCAUGGAAACAAUUUAGACUUAGUCUCAAAAAGGGUCGGGGUCAGUGUCGUUUCCAGAGCAGAAUUUUAAAACUGUAAAAGAAUUUUCUUCC
rnacentral:lncRNA from 1 species